AAUUUAAGCAUAUCAAUAAGCGGAGGAAAGGAAACUAACUAGGAUUCCCCCAGUAACGGCGAGUGAAGAGGGAAGAGCCCAGCGCCGAAUCACACGGUCCCAGCGGCCGGCGUGAACUGUGGCGUGCGGGACCGCUUUUAAGCGGAUGCAGGCGGCGCCGGAGUCCUCCUGAUCGAGGCUUCCCAGAGCGGGUGUCAGGCCCAUGCGGCGUCAGCCGGCUUCGGCUUUGCGGUUCCCCGGAGUCGGGUUGUUUGGGAAUGCAGCCCGAAGCGGGUGGUAAGCUCCAUCUAAGGCUAAGUACAGGCACGAGACCGAUAGCGGACAAGUACCUUGAGGGAAAGUUGAAAAGAACUUUGAAGAG
rnacentral:rRNA from 1 species